CAGUCGCCGCGGGAAUACAGAGGGUGCAAGCGUUAAUCGGAAUUACUGGGCGUAAAGCGCGCGUAGGUGGUUUGUUAAGUUGGAUGUGAAAGCCCCGGGCUCAACCUGGGAACUGCAUCCAAAACUGGCAAGCUAGAGUACGGUAGAGGGUGGUGGAAUUUCCUGUGUAGCGGUGAAAUGCGUAGAUAUAGGAAGGAACACCAGUGGCGAAGGCGACCACCUGGACUGAUACUGACACUGAGGUGCGAAAGCGUGGGGAGCAAACAGGAUUAGAGACCCCCGUAGUCCCUGUCUCUUAUAC
rnacentral:rRNA from 1 species